rnacentral:rRNA from 1 species
UGAACGCUGGCGGCGUGCCUAAUACAUGCAAGUCGAGCGAACGGACGAGAAGCUUGCUUUUCUGAUGUUAGCGGCGGACGGGCGAGUAACACGUGGAUAACCUACCUAUAAGACUGGGAUAACUUCGGGAAACCGGAGCUAAUACCGGAUAAUAUUUUGAACCGCAUGGUUCAAAAGUGAAAGACGGUCUUGCUGUCACUUAUAGAUGGAUCCGCGCUGCAUUAGCUAGUUGGUAAGGUAACGGCUUACCAAGGCAACGAUGCAUAGCCGACCUGAGAGGGUGAUCGGCCACACUGGAACUGAGACACGGUCCAGACUCCUACGGGAGGCAGCAGUAGGGAAUCUUCCGCAAUGGGCGAAAGCCUGACGGAGCAACGCCGCGUGAGUGAUGAAGGUCUUCGGAUCGUAAAACUCUGUUAUUAGGGAAGAACAUAUGUGUAAGUAACUGUGCACAUCUUGACGGUACCUAAUCAGAAAGCCACGGCUAACUACGUG